rnacentral:rRNA from 1 species
UACGUAGGGUGCAAGCGUUAAUCGGAAUUACUGGGCGUAAAGCGUGCGCAGGCGGUUGUGUAAGACAGAUGUGAAAUCCCCGGGCUCAACCUGGGAACUGCAUUUGUGACUGCAGGGCUAGAGUACGGUAGAGGGGGAUGGAAUUCCGCGUGUAGCAGUGAAAUGCGUAGAUAUGCGGAGGAACACCGAUGGCGAAGGCAAUCUCCUGGACCUGUACUGACGCUCAUGCGCGAAAGCGUGGGGAGCAAACAGG